UACGGAGGGUGCAAGCGUUAUCCGGAUUCACUGGUUUAAAGGGUGCGUAGGUGGGCAGGUAAGUCAGUGGUGAAAUCUCCGGGCUUAACCCGGAAACUGCCAUUGAUACUAUCUGUCUUGAAUACCGUGGAGGUGAGCGGAAUAUGUCAUGUAGCGGUGAAAUGCUUAGAUAUGACAUAGAACACCAAAUUGCGAAGGCAGCUCACUACGCGAAUAUUGACACUGAGGCACGAAAGCGUGGGAUCAAACAGG
rnacentral:rRNA from 1 species